rnacentral:tRNA from 1 species
GCCCGGGUGGCUCAGUCGGUUGAGUGUCCGACUUUGGCUCAGGUCAAGAUCUUAUAGUUUGUGGGUUCGAGCCCCGCGUUGGGCU